rnacentral:rRNA from 1 species
AAACCAGCACCUCAAGUGGUCAGGAUGAUUAUUGGGCCUAAAGCAUCCGUAGCCUGUUCUGUAAGUUUUCGGUUAAAUCUGUAUGCUCAACAUACAGGCUGCCGGGAAUACUGCAGGACUAGGGAGUGGGAGAGGUAGACGGUACUCGGGAGGAAGUGGUAAAAUGCUUUGAUCUCUCGAUGACCACCUGUGGCGAAGGCGGUCUACCAGAACACGUCCGACGGUGAGGGAUGAAAGCUGGGGGAGCAAACCGGAUUAGAAACCCGAGUAGUCC